rnacentral:rRNA from 1 species
AACGAACGCUGGCGGCGUGCCUAACACAUGCAAGUCGAACGGAAAGGCCCUGCUUUUGUGCGGUGCUCUAGUUGCGAACGGGUGAGUUACACGUGAGUUACCUGCCCCUGCCUUUGGGAUAACCUCAUACAACUUGGGCUCAUCCCGCAUAGGAGCUCCCGCUGCUUGGUGGGCGUUGGAUAGUUUCGGCGGUUGGGGAUGGACUGGCGGCGCAUCAGCUUGUUGCUUGGGUAGUGGCUGACCAAGGCUAGGACGGGUAGCAGGCCUGAGAGGGUGACAGGACACAUUGGGACUGAGAUGCGACACAGACUAGUACGGGAGGCAGCAGUGCGGAAUAUUGCACAGUGGGCGGAAGGCAGAUGCAGCAAAGCCGCGUGGGGGAUGACGGCAAUCGGGUUGUGAACCGAUUUCGCCUGUGACGAAGCGUGAGUGACGGUAAUGGGUAAAGAAGCACCGGCUAACUACGUG